rfam:Triticum aestivum genome assembly, contig: Triticum_aestivum_CS42_TGACv1_scaffold_146855_2BS
AAUAUACUCCCUCCGUCCAGAAAUACUUGUCUUAUAAAUGCAUAAAAUGGAUGUAUCUAUAGCUAAAAUAAGUCUAGAUACAUCCAUUUCUAGGACAACUAUUUCCAGACAGAGGGAGUAGAUU